rnacentral:rRNA from 1 species
CGCUCUUUGCUUUUUUAACAUAAAGAGUCGAACCUGCCCAGUGAUUCUAUUUAACGGCCGCGGUACUCUGACCGUGCAAAGGUAGCAUAAUCAUUUGCCUUAUAAUUGAAGGCUCGUAUGAACGGUUUGACAAGAGUAAAACUGUCUCUAUAUAAAUUUUAUAGAAUUUGGUUUUUAGGUGAAGAAACCUAAAUAAAAUUGAAAGACAAGAAGACCCUAUCGAGCUUAAAAUAAAUUUCUUGAAAAAUAUCAAAGACUAAUCUCAUGAAAAAAUUUUGGUUGGGGCGACUAAGGAACAUUCAAAGCUUCCUAUAAAACAUAUAAACCGAUAAGUUUUGAUCCAAAAAAUUUGAUUAACAGAAAUAGUUACCGUAGGGAUAACAGCAAUAAUCUU